rnacentral:tRNA from 1 species
AAGGAUUUAAGUUAUAAAAACUAUCAACCUUCAAAGUUGCAAAAAAAGAAUAUCUUUAAGCCUUA